AUACGAAGGGGGCAAGCGUUGUUCGGAAUUACUGGGCGUAAAGAGUACGUAGGCGGAUCGUUAAGUUAGAGGUGAAAUCCCAGGGCUCAACCCUGGAACUGCCUUUAAUACUGGCGAUCUAGAGAUCGAGAGAGGUGAGUGGAAUUUCCAGUGUAGAGGUGAAAUUCGUAGAUAUUGGAAAGAACACCAGUGGCGAAGGCGGCUCACUGGCUCGAUACUGACGCUGAGGUACGAAAGCGUGGGGAGCAAACAGGAUUAGAAACCCUAGUAGUCC
rnacentral:rRNA from 1 species